AUAUAGAUAAGAUAUUUAGGUUUUUAGAAAUUAAAAGGGAAUCAGGUGAAAAUCCUGAGCGGUCCGGCCACUGUAAUUGGGGAGCUGCUUUUAAUAAUACCACUGAGAGCGAUCUUGGGAAGGAUAAAAGUCAAGUGCUGAUCCAUAAGUCAGGAGACCUGCCUAUAUAUGAGAGCACUA
rnacentral:ncRNA from 2 species